rnacentral:rRNA from 1 species
UACAGAGGUCCCAAGCGUUGUUCGGAUUCACUGGGCGUAAAGGGUGCGUAGGCGGUUGGGUAAGUCUGAUGUGAAAUCUCACAGCUUAACUGUGAAACUGCAUUGGAUACUAUCCGGCUAGAGGAAUAGAGGGGAGACUGGAAUACUUGGUGUAGCAGUGAAAUGCGUAGAUAUCAAGUGGAACACCAGUGGCGAAGGCGAGUCUCUGGACAUUUCCUGACGCUGAGGCACGAAAGCCAGGGGAGCAAACGGG